rnacentral:misc_RNA from 1 species
AACGCACAUUGCGCCCCGUGGCAUUCCGCGGGGCAUGCCUGUUCGAGCGUCAUUAUGACCAAAUCACGCCAGGCGUGGUCUUGGGGCAGGCAGCUCUGCCGCCCUCAAACGUAGUGGCAGCGCCGGGUGGCUCUUAGCGUAGUAAUACUCCUCGCUAUAGGGUCCGUCGGUCGCCCGCCAGCAACCCCCAAUCUUUCUAGGUUGACCUCGGAUCAGGUAGGGAUACCCGCUGAACUUAA